UUCCAAAGAAAUAAAUCACAAACUAAAACUCACUAAAUUACCAUGAAAUUUGCAAAGUACCAAAUGGAUGCAUUUUACAAUUUUGAAUUACCUUAAUUUAGCAAUAGUGUAGCUUAAUCAUAAUAUUGUAUUUAACUUGUAAAAUAACUACUAGGGGACAGUUAUACAGUAUGUCUGUAUUUUUUAGAAAUAACACAUGUUUCCUGGGAACACCUAAAACAUAAAGACAAUCAACAGGAUGUACAUAGCAGCAACACAAAAGGGAUAAUCAAAAUUGAAACAUUACAAUUAUUUAUGAGGCCACUUGAAACAAGUAGUUUUUAGAACACUCCACUAUGGUGGUUGCAGUGUUUGGUUUCACAACAACCAACAAAACUCAUCUACAAGUCACUCUGUUCUCUGUAAUUAUUAAUUAUUUGAACAUUUAAUUUUUGUGUGAAAAGAAACUAACAUACACUUGAUAUUACAGUUGAGUCUUUUAGACAUUCAUAAGAAGAAGUACUUGUCCAUAAUUUGAUGGCACGCAACAAAAUACUAGCUGUCAUUGGAAGAUUCUAAGUUAAUAAAAAAAAUUGAAACCGCCUGAUUAAAAGUAGGUACCGUUAUUUAUCAAUAUCUAUAAUUAUUCCUAUAUGGUAAUAAUUAUAUUUUAUUUAGAUCUAACUGUUCAAAUGGUCCUGUUACAAUGAGUAAAUAGCAUUCUGAUUGUACUGGGGAAAUUAAAAAUAUUGCAAUAGUUACAAUAAUAAUUGUCUAGGAUUGAUGAAGCGAUUAGUUAAACGUAAUAACAGGUAUGUACUGGCACAAUUUUUUAAUUUCAAUUUGAAUUUAUAAUUGUGUAUGUUGAUCAAAUGUCACUAUUGUUUAUGAAACAGUGCAACAUUUUUAAUUAUACAAUUUUCAAUCAUAUUCAAUAAGUUUUGUGAAUUGAAAAAAGAACCUAAUAAGGUAUUUAAAAUGAAUGAACCAAAAAUUACCAUUAAAAUAAUUUAUACAAUUAUUUAAUUAAUCAAUUUAACACAAACUCUUUUGUAUAUUAAUAAUUUGUAGAAAAAUUGAAUAGUUUAAUGAACAAUAGCUUAGAAAAUAUACCAUAAAAAUGUUUAAAUUUAUUAAAUAACUUUUACUGAUAAUAAUAAUAUGUAUAUAAAUAUAGNCACGGACAACCUUCGGUGUGGUGUUAGCUCGCCGAUAAACUGAUUAGGUUCCAGAGUAAUACCCCGGUUUGUAGCCGCGCCUGCUUGCGAGGCUGUUCGACCUAGAGCUUUGCUCGAGUCAGCAUGACUCAUAACCACAUAGUCACUUCAGUGACAGCUACCACGAAACCAUUCCGCAUCGGUCGAAAUCAAUAGUUUAAUGAACAAUAGCUUAGAAAAUAUACCAUAAAAAUGUUUUGGUGUAAAUUUUGGUGUAAUUAUUUUGAUUGCAACAUCCUUAAUAUAAGUUAUUUUAUAUUUUAUACAUACUGAAAGCACUAGAUACAACUAAAUUGUUGUUAGUCAACUAAUGAAAUCUACCAUAGUUGAUUAUGAUUAUAUGAUAAUAAUUUUUUAUCUGUUGCAAUUUCAUGAAUAUUUAGUUUAAUUUAUAAUGUGAUUUAGCAAAUUUGCAAAUAAGAUUUAUUGCCAUUAAGCAAACUAACCAUUAUGCAAUUUCUGUUUACAAAAUGUCACCAAGUGAAAAAAAUCAGAUUUAUAAAAUAUAUAUGUUUAAAUGCCUUAUUUUAUUCUUAUAUAUGUAAAAAUAAUGUUUCUAAGUGAUAUCAUAAAUAGUUUAUGUACCACAUAACAUUUUUGGCAAAAUUGAAUAAAAUGUAAUCUUAAUUUGAAAGUGAAAAAAAAAUUAAUUUUAAAUUAUUGAGACAAUUUUUAUAUUUGAGGUUUUUUUAUUAUCUACCUGUGUUAUAUUGAAUUAUGAUUGAGUUUAUCAAAUUUUUUCAGGAUAAGGCAGUCACAUUUUAUGUCCAAGCAUAUCAUUUAGCAACAAAUGGAAAUUGAACUGUCAUGUUUAUGGAUUAGUUUGCUAUCAGUUCUAUCAAAACUCAACCUAGUUUACAUUAAAAGUAAAUAUUUUAUUAUAUUUGUAUAUGCAAGCCUGAAUAUUAAAAUAGCCUAUGUAAUAAAAUAAAAUAAAAAAAUCAAUCGGUUAGAUAAAUACUUGAUAAAAUAUGAAAAUAUACAAAUUAAAUAAAUGAAUAAAAAAAUAUAUAUGGCCCAUAACAUUAAGAUCUGUCACCUAAAAUCACUUUUGUUCUGUUCAAUAAUUUUAAGUUCUUUUCUUGUGAUAAUUAUUGGAGCCUUGUGUUAUGUUUCCUUUAUUGUAUUUUUUAUAUUCUUUUUGAAACUGAAAAUAGAAAUAUAAUUUAAAGUUACAAUUUUAAAGAUAUAUUAUGAAACAAUAUUUUGAUGUGAAUAAUAAUAACACUAAUACUAAUAAUUUUAAAAAGUUUUUAAUAUUAAUACUCAUUAUUUAUAUAAAAAUCAUCAGUAUGAGUAUUUUUUAAAACAUACCUUGCUAAUAAAUAAUUAAGAAAAGCAUACAUUAAUUUAAUUUUAGAAAUAUGCUUUUUGUAUGUAUUUUUAGUGUUUCUAAUAGUUUUCUUUUAAUGUAUAAUGUAUUACAAUUAAAUGGCAUAUGUAUUAUGAGGUUAAGGAAAUUAGCUUAAACAAAUAUUGAAUUUAUAGACAGUUGAAUCCGAUUUUUAUUUGGUGAUUAUCUCAACCUUCAACCACACACCUUGUGUUAGUCUGUUGCUAUUUAGGAGGUGCGGAGGUUCAAGAGUUUCCGGAGCUGCGAGCUUGAGUCGUUCUAAGGACUACCAGCACUGCAGGACUCUGAGAACAUGGAGCCUCGCGUACCAAUGGGUUAGGGCCAAGCGCCACCCGUCCUCGCUGUUGGUAUGGCCGCAGUCUGCUUCACUGCUUUCCGUUUUUGGUCACGGACAACCUUCGGUGUGGUGUUAGCCCGCUGAUAAACUGAUUAGGUUCUAGAGUAAUACCCCGGUUUGUAGCCGCGCCUGCUUGCGAGGCCGUUCGACCUAGAGCUUUGCUCGAGUCAGCAUGACUCAUAACCACAUAGUCACUUCAGUGACAGCUACCACGAAACCAUUCCGCAUCGGUCGAAAUCCGGCCGAGACCGGAAACCGGCCGCUGUGACGGGCCACCACCCCAAGGUCCUCGAGGGCUCCCGCCUCCCAUGGUACCAGCCUUAACAUCGCUGUUGGGGUGCUCGACCUGGAGCAUCGUCAGGUUUUAGCCUUCUGCUGCGGUCUCCCCGGAUUGGGGAGGCAUACCCGAGCUCUGGGUAGGCUCUUACACGGAGCGCUCACUCCUGUUUUUGCCCAUUAGUCACCUUCUAUGCUUAUAUACCUACCUCAUAGGCUUACUGUUGCCACCAUUCUGCUCCCCGGGCAACAGGGAGUUGAAUUUACAGACAGUAGGUUUUAAAAUUAUGUUCUGCAUCAAUAUUUUGUAAGGUAUAAUAAACAAUAAAAAUUCUCAAAUCAGUCAUUUCAUCCCAUUUUAAAAUCUUUUUAGUCUGUUUUACAAGGCUAAAUGGCUACCUGGACCAUGAUUUGAAAUAGAAUUGGUUUCCUACUUGUGUUUCCGAAUAGUUUUUUACGAUGUAUUUCUUAUAUUAGUUUUAUAUUCAAAUUUUUCAGUUAUGUUAUUCUAUUACCUGGUUUUAGUUUUUUAAAAUCGAAACCUCUGUAUAAACAUUAUUUUAUAAUAAAUUUGCUUUAUUUUUGUUAUUUUUCUGUAUAUCUUUAUUUCUCUAUAUUCCAUAUAUUAUAUCAGUGUAUUAUAAAUUAUUUUUAUUUUAAUUAAAUUUUUUUUUUUUACUUUUUUAAUUAUUUGAUAUUGAUUUGUACAUAAUAAAGUACUAUUGGUUUCGUGUUGUAAUAUUAUGUUUAAUUUUUACAGAUAAAAACUAAAAAUUCAGAACAAAUCCUACAAGCUGCUGCAGACCAUAAGAAAAUAAAAAUUGUACCUAAGAUAUUUGAGUGUGAUAAAAAUCAUUAAUAAUCAAAUUAUAGGCAAGUUAAAAUGUCAACUGUUGAAAUUAAUGGAACAUUUUAAUUUAGAAUUUUUGAUACAAUACUUUAAUUUUACAAAGUAAUAAAAUAUAAUUUAAAGCAUAUUUUUCUUUUAAAAAGUAAAUAACCCAAAUAUCAAAAUCAUAGUAUCAUAUUGUGAUUGUUAAUAAACAAUAAAAUUUCAUAUUUAACGACUAGGACUAUGCAGUGAAAAGAAGAACCUUAAAAAUGCACAAAACAUACACAAAAAAAUGUAAUAAAUUAUACAUUUAAAAUCUCAAAUAUGCAAUAUAAAAUGUACUAUACUGGUUUGAUGUCUCCAUUCUGAUUUUAGGCCUCUAGGGUAUUUGAUUUGUAUAAUGUUUCAGAAUUUAUUUUUUAGUAUAGUGAAGUAAUAUAUCUAGUAUUUGUUAUUAUGUGAAACAAAUGUUAAAAUAUUUCAAAAUUGUUAUAAAAAAACUACUAGGAAAAUAAUAUCUACCUUAUAUUGUAUAUAAAUAAAAAUAAAAUAUUUCACUUAAUUAAAUAUUUUUUAUCAUAUUUAAAGAGAAUAUGUAAGAGUGUGUUGAAAUACUGUCUCUGAAACUAUCUUGCUGGAACUUCAUAUCUGUGUGCAGUAUGUGCUUGCAGUUCUGCGAUUAAAAAAAUAACAUAUUCUUAAAUUUCUUCAGGGAUGAAAUUUAAAAUUAUAUUAAUUAUCUAGGAGUUCAAUUAAAUAAUUUUGUUUUGUUUAUUUGGCC
rnacentral:lncRNA from 1 species